rnacentral:tRNA from 5 species
AGGGGUAUAGCUCAAUUGGUAGAGUAACGGUCUCCAAAACCGUCGGUUGUGGGUUCGAUUCCUACUGCCCCUGCCA